rnacentral:lncRNA from 1 species
GUGAUUCUAAGGCUAAGUUUAGACUCAUCGACUUCAGGCUUUUUGGAACUUCCAAGAUUGGACGUGCUGCUCCACAAUCACCUUCCCAGGUAGUUCCACAAACUCAGAUUUCUCCAAUUAGUCUUCUAACAUAAAAUGCCUUAUUUGGUGUUUACAUCUCCACUAAGAAGAGACAAGUCCUACAGUCAAUUGAUGUGCCCUCUGACAUCGCCGGUAGAACGGAAGACAUCACCAGUUUGAUUCCAGCUCACGGGAGCUGAAGUUUUCUGCACAUAGUGGUUCUCAACCAGGGGUGAUUUUGCCCCCAGGACGUUUGGAAAUGUCUGGAGACAUUUUUGGUUGUGGCAACUUCGGGGGGCAUCUUUGCCACUGACAGCUGGUGGGUAGAGGCCAGGGAUGCUGCUGAACAUUCCAUGAUGCUGAGGACAACUCCCUGCAACAAAGACUUAUCAGGCCCAAGUUGUCAACAGUGCUGAGUGAGAAACCCUGUUUUAGAGUAUCUACAGCUAUACCGUCACUGGAACAUUUUCUCAGCUUCUAUUGGGGUGAGAGACAGACAGCUUCUGCCACAAAUAACUAUAUUCUGCAUAAAAUGAAUCUUUAUUGCAAUUAAGGGCUUUCAGAAAAUAAAGGAAAUCUCCAAGCUCCCUUACCACUCCUCCCAAUAAAAUGAGCUGUAAUGUGGCAUUGAGCACACUUCAUGGCACCAUUUCUCUGCCAUUUCUCAGGCAGGUACCCAUGUCCUUGGGUGAGUGUGUCUGGGAAAUAGAAGACUGGGCUUAGGCUGGCAGCAGAGUGGGAAUUUAACCUGAGAUUUCAUUAAACUGUGAUCCUCCAAGUAGUCUGAAAUGUGUGUGUGUACAAGGAGCCCUGGCUGCAGGCAGAAUCAAAGGCAAAUGCUACCAGGAGAGCACCUUCAAUGUAAGAGCUCAGUAUUUCCACAGAUAAAGCAGGCACUGCUGCUAGUUGGGCUCCUGAUAUCUGGAUCAAUCAAUCUUCAUUUUGGGGCAUCUCCACUGAAAACUGAAGUUAUGCCUGGAGGAUCCCAUACUUCAAUAGGAGGAUUGUUAGAAAUCAGUGACUUCUUCAGCAUUCUCCUUCCUCUGCACUAAGGCUAAAGCCAGGAGCCAGGGAGGAUGGGGUCUAAGAUGGGAAAACUGACAGUUUGUACUUAAAACUCAUCAGCAAAAAAGUGAAGACUUGGCUUUAAAUGGAACAUUUCUCAACCAUCAGAGACAAAAGAAACUACAGGUAAAUGUACUAAGUCUUUUCAUGGAUAGUUGAAUGGUUUAACCCCUCCAUAUCCACCCCUUGCCUUCCAGCCCCAUGCUAUUCUUGCAGUGACAUACCUUGGAGUGAGAUCAUUGUCCUUCACUUGAAGUGUAUCUGUUCAAGGCUAAGGCAGUGAUCACAUUGCAGAAGACACUCUUUCUACAGGGAGGGAAGGGUGGGCCCUAUGGCUGACCUCGACAUGGCCAUGAGAAGGGGCAGUAUGAUGCAGCCUCCUUAGGAUAAGAAAGACCCUUUGUCCACAAGGCAGAAGAACAGCAUCUGAGGAAUUCUACUUAGGAGGGAAGCACAGAGAAGAAGCAGAUUAUCCACCUGCUGCCUGUUUUCCCAAGUGCUUUGCCCAUCCUCAGGAACUCCAAGGAUUCCAGGCUAUUGUCAGCCUCACAGUACAGGGUAUGGGAAGGACUGCAUGAUGGAGCAAGACACUGAGUCAUAAAAAGGGAAAGAAAAUUCUUGUAGGGUGAUCUCCACCCUCAUGGAAACAUCAUGGACAUUCAGGUGUAGGUAGGAGGAAUUCCUUCCAUGUUUGGGAUUGGGACUCCUCUUCCUCUCACUUAAUAUGUAGUUAGGUUCAAUUCAAUAGAAGUAAUUCACAGAGAGCCAGAAAGAGUCCCCUUUGAGGUGACCAGUCCUAUCUCAUUCCACUCCACACCUUAUAUUCUGUGCUUCAGCUCAAAUGUACUAUGUUCACAUGCUGCCCUUUUCCAUUAAAAAACCUCUCUUCUAUCAAAUCCAUACUAAUUUUUUAGUAUUUAUUUUAGGCAUCACUUUUCUCCUGAAUACUUCUUGUUUCUCUAAAACUGUUUGAUUCCCUUCCUGUGUGCCCCCUGAGACCCCAUGCUUACCUGUGACAUUCUACCUGUGACACAUAUUAACUUUUCUGUCAUUCUCAUUAGGCAGUGAGCUACAUAAGGAUAGCGACAGUGUCUCUUUUAUCUCUGAAUCACCAAAAAUAGCACCUGAUACCUAAUCAACACAACAAAAUUUGAAUGAUUUUACUGGUAGUAAAGCAAUUUCUAUAGAAGCUGGAGGAAGAUGAGAUUCUGAAUGGAAUCCUUAGGGAGAAAGACCAUAGAAUUGCUUUAUUCUAGACAAUAAUUUUCCUACUCAGGUGGGAUUCAAAGGUGAGAAAUUCUAAGAGCCUAAUGUUUCCUGGGAACAAAGAACAAUAGGGCUGACAGGGAACCAAGGCCUUAAGGUCAAUUCUCAUGCUUUGCAUGGCUAAAGGGAAUCAGUAUUCUAACUGAGGCAUUUUUAAACAAAGUUUCAGGACAUCAUUGAUUUGAUUCUUAUAACUGGUGGUGGUCUUCAAUACUGGAAGGACUUGGAUCAAAUAGUAAGGACUUAAUUUCUGAUUUCAUUAAUAACUACAGCCAGCAACUCAUAAUUUUUUCUGUCUCUGGCUAGUCAUCUAAUAGAACCCAAGUUUGUGAAAAGGCCUUGCAUUGAUAUCAUAGACUGAAAAAGCUUGAGUCAUUCAUCUUAAUCUUACCCAGAAUACUUAGCUUGAAGUUGACAUUAAAUAAAUAGAUGCAGAUACCUGACUGACUGAUUGAA